rnacentral:rRNA from 1 species
UACGGAGGAUCCGAGCGUUAUCCGGAUUUAUUGGGUUUAAAGGGUGCGCAGGCGGGAAAUUAAGUCGGCGGUGAAAUUUUGCAGCUCAACUGUAAAAGUGCCUUCGAAACUGGUUUCCUUGAGUGUAGAUGAAGUAGGCGGAAUUUGUGGUGUAGCGGUGAAAUGCAUAGAUAUCACGAGGAACUCCGAUUGCGCAGGCAGCUUACUAAACUACUACUGACGCUCAGGCACGAAGGCGUGGGGAUCAAACAGGAUUAGAUACCCCUGUAGUCCCU